ensembl:snoRNA
GAGCAAUGAUGAAAAGGCUUUAGUACUGAACUUUGUCUAUGAAGGUUUCUACACUUGACCUGAGCUCA